rnacentral:lncRNA from 1 species
AUGCCCAUGCACAGUCCACUAUGUUGGUACCUGGGGGGGUUCCUCCACUUCCCCUUUCUUCUCUUUCUUGUCUUUGUCCCCCUUUCCUUUCUUGGCAGGCUGUGGAAUCUCUACAGGAGGUGGCACCACAGGCCAGCCCAGGAUUUAGAAGACAAGCCCCAGCCCCAAGUCUGCAGAAGCCACUGCUGCUGGGGCCACCUCCCCCUUGGGCUCUCUGGAAUGACCCUGAGAGCUGCAGGGAAUGAUGUCUGCCCAGGGCUUCGGGACUGUGCUGAACAGGACUGUCCUUGGGUGAGGCGCACAUGGGGCCAUCACCAGAGGCUGUGGCUGGGGGCCUGGGACAGGGUUGCAAGGGGACUCCCAGGAAGACUGCAAGCACACACAGACACUGUAAAGGUGAGGAAAGAACCGACCUCACAGUUGUUCUCUGGCCUUCAUGCAUGUGCACACAUGUGAUAAUAAAUUAAAAUUUAACAUUUUAAAAUUUAUUUUUAGUUUAUGUAUAUGGGUGUUUUGUCUGCAUCUGUGUAAGUAUACCACCUGCAUGCAAUGCUCACAGAGGCCAGAAGAGGGGCCUAGAUUCCAUCCCCAGGACUGCAAACAAAACAAGAUGGAUGGUUGUUAGCCACCAUGUAGGUGCUAGGAAUUGAACCGGAGUCUUCUGCAAGAGCUGAAAGUGCUCUUAACUUCUGAGCCAUCUCUCUAGUCCAGUAAAUUAAGUUUUAAAGAGAAUGGUAACAAUACAGUAAAAACAGAAGCACAUCCACUAAUAAUUUUUAAAGGGUUUGAAAUGACUCAAAAUAUGUUCUUUGACCACAAGGAAAUUAACAUUAUUCAACAACAGGAGUAAUUUAGAAAGUUCAAGAGUAUAUGGAGAUUAAAAAAUACACUCCUACAUAUUUAAUAGGUCAAAGAAGAAAUU